rnacentral:rRNA from 1 species
UACGUAGGGGGCAAGCGUUGUCCGGAAUCAUUGGGCGUAAAGCGCGUGUAGGCGGCCAGAAAAGUCCGCUGUGAAAACUCGAGGCUCAACUUCGAGCUGUCGGUGGAAACUUUCUGGCUAGAGUCCGGAAGAGGAGAAUGGAAUUCCUGGUGUAGCGGUGAAAUGCGCAGAUAUCAGGAGGAACACCGGUGGCGAAGGCGGAUCUCUGGGCCAUUACUGACGCUGAGGAGCGAAAGCGUGGGGAGCAAACAGG